GGUUUGCAUUAACUGAGUCAUGUUCGGCUCCUCCUGUACUGUCGGAGUAUUUUUGGUAGGAUCAUGGAUUCCCUCCUGCUGAGUUGUGCCGCUGUUUAAUUGGGGAGUAUUAUCGCCAAGUGGAUUUGAUGUCCCUCCUACCGCUCCUUGAGUAUUCCUCGCUCGUCGUGGAGGCAUAUUGACCUAUGAUAGAUUUGAGAUAAUAACUUAUCCUUAAUAAGGUUAUAACU
rnacentral:lncRNA from 1 species